rnacentral:lncRNA from 1 species
UACUCCUAUACCUAAGUACACCCCUCUAUUUCUCUUUCUAAAUUUAUCACAAAAUCUAAACCUCACUACAUUCUUACGUCCCUCCUCCGUCCAAGAAGGUUACAACUCUUGUUAAACCUGUGUUUUCAAACAGAAAAUUAAGUUAAAAAAAUAAGAAUAAAAACCAAAAUAUACAGAUAAAUAGUACCUCAUGAUCGUAAAGAUUUCUAAAUUGAGCGAGCCUGCUAAGAAUCAAUCAAUACAACCUGCAAAAUAUUUUUAAAAUCUUGUUCAAACUUAAAUCGCAUUAGUACAAUAUCAUUCAAACAUAGCAAACAACAAUUUCUAAUUUUAAUAAUACAUUUGCUACAGAAAUUUUUUCAUGUUUGCAAAUACCAAUAUUAAUCUAAUUUCAAAAGGCUGAAU